rnacentral:rRNA from 1 species
UACGUAGGGGGCUAGCGUUGUCCGGAAUCAUUGGGCGUAAAGAGCGUGUAGGCGGUCCGGUAAGUCCGCUGUGAAAGUCGGGGGCUCAACCCUCGAAUGCCGGUGGAUACUGUCGGGCUAGAGUGCGGAAGAGGCGAGUGGAAUUCCUGGUGUAGCGGUGAAAUGCGCAGAUAUCAGGAGGAACACCGGUGGCGAAGGCGGAUCCUGCUGGCAUACUGACGUGAGGAAGCGAAGGCGUGGGAGGCGAACAGG